CAGGACACAUGAACAUCGACAUUUUGAACGCAUAUUGCGGUCCAUACUGAUAAGUUUCUUAAUUGAAGCUGUAUGGACCACAUAUGGCUGAGGGUUGUUAGUUUACGCUAACUGAAUUGCUUUUAAUUAAGCUACAUAAUGAGGUGUUGUUAUCCUUAAGUGUGUUAACAUCCCUUGAAAAUACCUAUGGUACACAAUUUUAUAAAAUUGUGAAUGCUUGUUUUACACAUAUCAAAGAAAACAAAUAUAUUAUUAUGCUAUAUUGGUCUUUUUAGUAUAUUACUUUAGUCUUUGAAACUAGUAAACUUUGAUUAAGCGUUUAAACAUAAUAGUUUACGCAUUUGAAUGCUAACCUGAACGUUUCAAUUUAAAUUACUAAUACUAAUAAAACGAAAGGCCUUCAAGUAUACGUCAUUUAUAAUAUAUUUAUACAUAUUAAUUUAAUUUUCUUGAUAUAUAAAAAACGGUUUCCAAUCAGGCUGGAAUGCGUUCACAUACAAAAAUUUUAUGAAAUUUGAAUAAAACUUAUCAAAGCAACCUCAG
rnacentral:rRNA from 1 species